GGACGAACGCUGGCGGCGUGCCUAAUACCUGCAAGUAGAACGCUGAAGGAGGAGCUUGCUUCUCUGGAUGAGUUGCGAACGGGUGAGUAACGCGUAGGUAACCUGCCUGGUAGCGGGGGAUAACUAUUGGAAACGAUAGCUAAUACCGCAUAAGAGUAGAUGUCGCAUGACAUUUGCUUAAAAGGUGCAAUUGCAUCACUACCAGAUGGACCUGCGUUGUAUUAGCUAGUUGGUGAGGUAACGGCUCACCAAGGCAACGAUACAUAGCCGACCUGAGAGGGUGAUCGGCCACACUGGGACUGAGACACGGCCCAGACUCCUACGGGAGGCAGCAGUAGGGAAUCUUCGGCAAUAGACGGAAGUCUGACCGAGCAACGCCGCGUGAGUGAAGAAGGUUUUCGGAUCGUAAAGCUCUGUUGUAAGAGAAGAACGAGUGUGAGAGUGGAAAGUUCACACUGUGACGGUAGCUUACCAGAAAGGGACGGCUAACUACGUG
rnacentral:rRNA from 1 species